AUUGAACGCUGGCGGCAUGCCUUACACAUGCAAGUCGAACGGUAACAGGUCUUCGGAUGCUGACGAGUGGCGAACGGGUGAGUAAUACAUCGGAACGUGCCUAGUAGUGGGGGAUAACUACUCGAAAGAGUGGCUAAUACCGCAUGAGAUCUACGGAUGAAAGCAGGGGAUCGCAAGACCUUGUGCUACUAGAGCGGACGAUGGCAGAUUAGGUAGUUGGUGGGAUAAAAGCUUACCAAGCCGACGAUCUGUAGCUGGUCUGAGAGGACGAUCAGCCACACGGGGACUGAGACACGGCCCAGACUCCUACGGGAGGCAGCAGUGGGGCAUUUUGGACAAGGGGCUACAGCCUGAUCCAGCAAUGCCGCGUGCAGGAUGAAGGCUUUCGGGUUGUAAACUGCUUUUGUACGGAACGAAAAGCCCCGGGUGAAUACCCUGGGGUCAUGACGGUACCGUAAGAAUAAGCACCGGCUAACUACGUGCCAGCCGCCGCCGUAA
rnacentral:rRNA from 1 species